rnacentral:rRNA from 1 species
GACGAACGUUGGCGGCGUGCUUAACACAUGCAAGUCGAACGGAAAGGCCCUGCUUUUGUGGGGUGCUCGAGUGGCGAACGGGUGAGUAACACGUGAGUAACCUGCCCUUGACUUUGGGAUAACUUCAGGAAACUGGGGCUAAUACCGGAUAGGAGCUCCUGCUGCAUGGUGGGGGUUGGAAAGUUUCGGCGGUUGGGGAUGGACUCGCGGCUUAUCAGCUUGUUGGUGGGGUAGUGGCUUACCAAGGCUUUGACGGGUAGCCGGCCUGAGAGGGUGACCGGCCACAUUGGGACUGAGAUACGGCCCAGACUCCUACGGGAGGCAGCAGUGGGGAAUAUUGCACAAUGGGCGGAAGCCUGAUGCAGCAACGCCGCGUGCGGGAUGACGGCCUUCGGGUUGUAAACCGCUUUCGCCUGUGACGAAGCGUGAGUGACGGUAAUGGGUAAAGAAGCACCGGCUAACUACGUGCCAGCAGCCGCGGUGAUACGUAGGGUGCGAGCGUUGUCCGGAUUUAUUGGGCGUAAAGGGCUCGUAGGUGGUUGAUCGCGUCGGAAGUGUAAUCUUGGGGCUUAACCCUGAGCGUGCUUUCGAUACGGGUUGACUUGAGGAAGGUAGGGGAGAAUGGAAUUCCUGGUGGAGCGGUGGAAUGCGCAGAUAUCAGGAGGAACACCAGUGGCGAAGGCGGUUCUCUGGGCCUUUCCUGACGCUGAGGAGCGAAAGCGUGGGGAGCGAACAGGCUUAGAUACCCUGGUAGUCCACGCCGUAAACGGUGGGUACUAGGUGUGGGGUCCAUUCCACGGGUUCCGUGCCGUAGCUAACGCUCUAAGUACCCCGCCUGGGGAGUACGGCCGCAAGGCUAAAACUCAAAGGAAUUGACGGGGCCCCGCACAAGCGGCGGAGCAUGCGGAUUAAUUCGAUGCAACGCGUAGAACCUUACCUGGGUUUGACAUGGGUCGGGAGUGCUCAGAGAUGGGUGUGCCUCUUUUGGGGUCGGUUCACAGGUGGUGCAUGGCUGUCGUCAGCUCGUGUCGUGAGAUGUUGGGUUAAGUCCCGCAACGAGCGCAACCCUUGUUCACUGUUGCCAGCACGUUAUGGUGGGGACUCAGUGGAGACCGCCGGGGUCAACUCGGAGGAAGGUGGGGAUGACGUCAAGUCAUCAUGCCCCUUAUGUCCAGGGCUUCACGCAUGCUACAAUGGCUGGUACAGAGAGUGGCGAGCCUGUGAGGGUGAGCGAAUCUCGGAAAGCCGGUCUCAGUUCGGAUUGGGGUCUGCAACUCGACCUCAUGAAGUCGGAGUCGCUAGUAAUCGCAGAUCAGCAACGCUGCGGUGAAUACGUUCCCGGGGCU